rnacentral:rRNA from 1 species
UACGGAGGAUCCAAGCGUUAUCCGGAUUUAUUGGGUUUAAAGGGUGCGUAGGCGGCCUAUUAAGUCAGGGGUGAAAGACGGUGGCUCAACCAUCGCAGUGCCCUUGAUACUGAUGGGCUUGAUUACACUUGAGGUAGGCGGAAUGUGACAAGUAGCGGUGAAAUGCAUAGAUAUGUCACAGAACACCAAUUGCGAAGGCAGCUUACUAAGGUGUCAAUGACGCUGAGGCACGAAAGCGUGGGGAUCAAACAGGAUUAGAUACCCUGGUAGUCCACGCCCUAAACGAUGAAUACUCGAUGUUAGCGAUAUACAGUUAGCGUCAAAGCGAAAGCGUUAAGUAUUCCACCUGGGGAGUACGCCCGCAAGGGUG